GGUCCCGGUCAUAGCGGUCGGGAAACACCCGGACUCGUCAGAUCCCGGAAGUUAAGCCGGCCGCGUUGAGAGGGCAGUGAGGUCCGCGAGGCCUCGCAGCCCUCUCAAACUGGGAUCC
rnacentral:rRNA from 1 species